rnacentral:rRNA from 1 species
CCCUUAGAUGUUCUGGGCUGCACGCGCGCUACACUGAUGCACUCAACGAGUUUACGACCUUGCCCGAUAGGGUUGGGUAAUCUUUUUAAAAUGCAUCGUGAUGGGGAUAGAUUAUUGCAAUUAUUAAUCUUCAACGAGGAAUUCCUAGUAAGCGCGAGUCAUCAGCUCGUGCUGAUUACGUCCCUGCCCUUUGUACACACCGCCCGUCGCUCCUACCGAUUGAGUGCUCAGGUGAAUAAUUCGGGCUGCAGCAAUGUUUGGAUCCCGAACGUUGCAGCGGAAAGUUUAGUGAACCUUAUCACUUAGAGGAAGGAGAAGUCGUAACA